UACGGGGGGCGCAAGCGUUGUCCGGAAUUACUGGGCGUAAAGGGCGCGUAGGUGGCGCCGCACGUCCACGGUGAAAGCUCGAUGCUCAACAUCGAGUCGGCCACGGAGACUGCGGGGCUCGAGCACUGUAGGGGCAGAUGGAAUUCCGGGUGUAGCGGUGGAAUGCGUAGAGAUCCGGAAGAACACCGGUGGCGAAGGCGGUCUGCUGGGCAGUUGCUGACACUGAGGCGCGACAGCGUGGGGAGCAAACAGG
rnacentral:rRNA from 1 species